AUAUGUAACAGAAAGAUAUUCUUGACACUGUUUGUUUCUGCAUGCACUCUGUCAGCUGCUGGGGAGAAUUAUCCUUAGAGGGAGAAUAUAGUCCAAUGUGGACUUCUACAUCUCCCAGAGCCAGGCAGCCAACCAUGCAGUGAGAGAGGCAGCCUGUAUCUGUACUGCAGAGCUGGGCACUAAGGUGAAGGAUUGUCUGAAACCGUACGUGGGGACAGUUUCCUUCUCCUGCUUGGAGAGCUGAGUGGUGUGAGUGGGUGUGCAUGACCGAGUGUCCUCCCUCCUCCCCCUCUGUGCUGAGACACUACAGCACAAACACUACCCUCAACACCUCAACCUCGAUCUGGAGACACUGCUCAAACUGAGCAGUGACAAUACCUGGUGCAGUCUGCUGGAGUGGACUAGCUAGCUGUCUCACCUCACUAUGUCAGCUGCUAGGGAGAAUGAUCCUCAGAGGGAGAAUAGAACAACAAAAAC